UAGGCUCCAAACACCGGUUCUCAUGUCAAUUGCCGACCCCUAUCUCCAACAGCACACAUGGCAAGCCACAUAUCUACACUCCCACCAACUCUUGCUUUGAUCACCAUACCCAGAAAGGUUGAUAGGGAACUCCUACAUAAUCUCUUCAAAUCCUGCAACUAUUGAGAGCAACUAGCCAUAGGCCGAAUAAGGCAACCACAACCACC
rnacentral:lncRNA from 1 species